GUCGAACGGAUGAAUAAGCUUGCUUAUUUCGUUAGUGGCGCACGGGUGAGUCCUGUUUAGACCUAACCUGCCCUUUAGUGGGGGACAACAGAUGGAAACGUUUGCUAAUACCCCAUACUCCUGCUUAUCAUAAGGUAAGUUGGGAAAGAUUUAUUGCUAAAGGAUGGGGCUUUAUGGUAUCAGCUAGUUGGUGGGGUAACGGCCUACCAAGGCUAUGACGCCUACCUGGUCUGAGAGGAUGAUCAGGCACACUGGAACUGAGACACGGUCCAGACUCCUACGGGAGGCAGCAGUGGGGAAUAUUGCACAAUGGAGGAAACUCUGAUGCAGCAACGCCGCGUGGAGGAUGACGCAUUUCGGUGUGUAAACUCCCUUUUAUAAGGGAAGAUAAUGACGGUACCUUAUGAAUAAGCACCGGCUAACUCCGUGCCAGCAGCCGCGGUAAUACGGAGGGUGCAAGCGUUACUCGGAAUCACUGGGCGUAAAGGAUGCGUAGGCUGGAAAUCAAGUCGAGAGUGAAAUCCAACGGCUCAACCGUUGAACUGCUCUCGAAACUGGUUACCUAGAAUAUGGGAGAGGUAGAUGGAAUUGGUGGUGUAGGGGUAAAAUCCGUAGAUAUCACCAGGAAUACCGAUUGCGAAAGCGAUCUACUGGAACAUUAUUGACGCUGAAGCAUGAAAGCGUGGGGAGCAAACAAGAAUAAAUACCCUGGUAGUCCACGGCCCUAACGAUGCACACUAAAUUGUGCGAUGCUAGUCAAUUGCAGAAUGCACUUUAAAAAAUAAGUGUGCCGCCCGGGGGGGACAGUCGCCCAGAAUAAAA
rnacentral:rRNA from 1 species